rnacentral:pre_miRNA from 1 species
AGGGGGAGGCCGCAUCCUGGGCUGUGUCCCGGCGCCCUGUGCUCCCGGUCCGCGCUGUUGGAUUCGCGCUCCCGCCCCGCAGCCCCCU